AGUCUUAACGAUGGAUGUCUUGGUUCCUACAGCGAUGAAGGCCGCAGCAAAAUGCGAUACGCAAUGAAAAUUGCAGUGACUGUGAAUCAUCAGAAUGCUGAAUGUAAACUACACCAAUUCCCUUCGGGGAAUAGUGGUACUCCUACAGAAAAUAAAAUAAUACUUUGCUCUCUAGGUUUCUUUUAAAUAUAAAAUAUGUUUUCAUAUUAUAUGUAUAAAAGAAAAGAGAAAUAGGAAUUUAUUCCAAACUAAAAAUUAAUUUUUAGUUAAAGUUUCUCGCUGAAUAAAAUUUAUUUUCAUUCAUUUUCUAGAGUAACAAAAAAAGAAUUCUUUCAUUCUUUUUAACAAAGUGUUUGAUUUGAUGUUAGGAGGGCAAAUCCGCCGAAUUUAAGCAUAUAAUUAAGCGGAAGAAAAGAAAAUAACUAUGAUUCCUUUAGUAACGGCGAGUGAACAAGGACCAGCUCAAACGGUUAAUCCUUCGUUUGGUGCAAGCCUUUCGACGGAAUUGUCGUUGAAUUAUUCCAUGAAUGCCUUUAAUUUUGAGCAAAGUGAGCAGGAAUGCUUCCCCAUAGAGGGUGAAAGGCCCAUAGUUCUUUUUAAUUUAUUCAUUGGAAUUUUUCAUGCCGAGUCGUGUUCUUUGAGAUUGGAGCACUAAUACGUGUGAUACAUUUCACAUAAAGCUAAAUAUGUGUAGGAGACCGAUAGCAAACAAGUACCGUGAGGGAAAGAUGAAAUAGUACUCAGGAAUGAGCAAUUAAAUAGUACCUGAAAUCGUUAAGAUGGAACGGAUUAAGAGAGAAAACAAGUAAAGAGGGGAAUUUUUAAUUUUUUUUGUUAUAAUUCUCUUCUUUAUUAAAAGAAACAUCAGUGAUUAAUUUAAUUUCAAUAAAGCAAUCCCCUGAAAUUCAAAAUUUCUUUUAAUUUUGUUUUCACUUUCUCCCCGCACUAAUGUGGGGAAAACUGGCUUUAUUUCUUCAAUUAUUUUUUUUGCUGAGGAAUUUUAAAAUUAUUUGAAUUUUUCUUCUUAUAAUUUAAGUUGUUUCUAUAUAGUACUUUCUUAACCCACUCGUCUUGAAACACGGACCAAGGAGUCUAGCAAAUGUGCAAGUGUAUAUGAUUCUUUAAACAUUUCUCUUUUUAAUAUACGCAUAAUUAAUGUAAUAUGUUUUCUUUAUUGUAGAUUUUUGUGGUGUUUAAUUUUUAUUAAAUCCCCACUUUGCAUACAAUACCGGUAAGCAAUUAUGCUUUAUUGAGUACGAGCAUAUUUGUUAGGACCCGAGAGGCUUUGAACUAAGCGUGAUGAGAUUGAAGUCAGACGAAAGUCUGAUGGAGGAUCGAGUUGAUACUGACGUGCAAAUCGUUCAUUUCAAUCACGUUUAGGGGCGAAAGACUAAUCGAAAAGCCUAUUAGCUGGUUAUUUUCGAAAGAUCUCUCAGGAUCGCUGGAGUUGAUUUUAUUAUAUUUUUAUUAGGUAGAGAUAAUGAUUAGAGGAUUUAGGGAAAUCUUUUUCCUUUACCUAUUCUCAAACUCCCAAUAGGUAAAAAGGGCGAAAUAACUCAACUUGUAUUUCACUCUUAUUAAAUAAAAUAACUCCAAGUGGGCCAUUUUUGGUAAGCAGAACUGGCGAUGAGGGAUGCUCCUAACGCUUGGAUAAGGUGCCUAAAUAUUCGCUCAUGAGAUCCCAUAAAAGGUGUUGGUUCAUAAUGACAGUAGGACGUUGGUCAUGGAAGUCGAAAUUCGCUUAGGAGUGUGUAACAACUCACCUACCGAAUGAACUAGCCCUGAAAAUGGAUGGCGCUAAAGCGUAUUACCGAUACCUUGCCAUAAUAAGUUAUAUAUUAUAAAUUUUAUUUUUUUUUAGUAUCUUUUUAUGAGUAGAAAAUCGUGGGGUUUGUGUUGAAGCGAAAUACGUGAGUUUUCGUGGAACAUCUCCCUAGUGCAGAUCUUGGUGGAAGUAGCAACUAUUCAAAUGAGAACUUUGAAGACUGAAGUGGAGAAGGGUUUCUUGUCAACUGUGAUUGAACAAGAGUUAGCCGCUCCUAAGGGAUAGCUGAAAAGUGUUUAAAAGGGGUUUCUUCCCCGUCUCAAAAGGGAAACAGGUUGAUAUUCCUGUGCCAAUAGUAUUAAGAGUUUUUUAGAUGGUAACAUAUAUAUAAAUGAACUCCUUUACAUAGGCUUUACACUCGGGGUGCGUUUUCUUUGCACUUUACCUUUAUAACAAACCUUGGAAUCAAUUUACUUGGAGAAGAGGUUCGUUGAACUCAAUUCAAAAAAUUUCUUGAACGGGGUUUUCGGAUUCAGUUCAUUUUAUUUUUUGUUUUGUAGCAAUAGUAAUUCGUUUUUAUGAAUUAUCCGAAGUGGUAAGGACUAUCCUUGAAAAAAGGAGGGAACGGCUUUGUAAACUUGGUUUCUUCUGAUUCCAUUUUGCUUUGCUAUACUCUUAAUACUUGUAUGAGCGUACCAACAACCGCAUCAGGUCUCCAAGGUUAACAGCCUCUGGUUAAAUAGAAAAAAGUAGGUAAGGGAAGUCGGCAAAAUAGAUCCGUAACUUCGGGAAAAGGAUUGGCUCUGAGGACAUUAGAAAAGAGAAGAAAAAAAGAGGGUUGAAAAUAAAAUUGCAGUUUUUAUUUGCUUUUCUUUCGAUUUGCUUGUAAUCUGCUUUUUCUUUUUCUUCUUUCUUUUUUUCUCCCCCUCUUUUCGCCUUCAUUUUAUUGUAAUUUUAUUACUUUAAUUUGAUACCUAUAAUGUUAACUCAGAACUGAAACGGACAAGGGGAAUCCGACUGUUUAAUUAAAACAUAGCAUUGUGAAAAUCCAUAACUGGUAUUAACACAAUGUGAUUUCUGCCCAGUGCUUUGAAUGUUAAUUUGAUGUUAAUUUCAAUUAAGCGCAGGUAAACGGCGGGAGUAACUAUGACUCUCUUAAGGUAGCCAAAUGCCUCGUCAUCUAAUUAGUGACGCGCAUGAAUGGAUUAACGAGAUUCCCACUGUCCCUACUUGCUAUCUAGCGAAACCACAGCCAAGGGAACGGGCUUGGCAAAAUCAGCGGGGAAAGAAGACCCUGUUGAGCUUUACUCUAGUCUGUCUUUGUUAAACGACUUAUUAGGUGUAGUAUAAGUGGGAGUAGAAACUGAAAUAUGUUUUUACGACAGUGAAAUACCACUACUUUUAAAGUUGUUUUACUUAUCCAUUUAUAGGGAAAUAUAUUAUGCUUUAUCCUUCGGGAAGGCAUUCUGAUAUUAUUUGAAUUUUUAAGAAACUUGUUUCU
rnacentral:rRNA from 1 species